CAACACCGACAACAACACCGACAACCAAAGCAACAACAAUAGGCAGUGGAAACAAAUGUGCUGUGAUCAACUGCGCUGGAGAUGACUGCUACAAAAACCAAAAUCAGGGAGAUAUGUACUGUCCUAUUGGCAAGGAUUACUGCAAGCUGGAAAAGAAUACAGCAACCAACACAUGGACAAGUAGCUGUGAUGACUCUUGCAACAGUGUGUCCUCUGGCUGUUCAGGUAGCAGUUCAACAACCUGUGUCCAGGAGUGCUGCACAGCCACCACAGAUUCCUGUCUCAAAUUAGAUGGAGAAGAAAAUUUGAUUGGAUCUGCAAGUAUGACAGAGUCUAUGAAGAUAAUGGUUUAUACUAUUGCCGUGUUUAUUUUGACUAUUCACUUUGCACCCUUUAGUUUUUAAACGCAGGAGCCAAGAAUUCACACCAGACUUUGAAUGUUCAGUUCUGUCAAUUUACAUUCCGACAUCAGCGUAGAACUGCAUAAGCCUUUUUAUGUCAGUAUUUCAAUCUGGGGAGAUCUUUUACCCUUAAUGAAGCUGAAGCAAUUGUUAAUUUUACAUCCACCAACUGAGUCUCAGAAUAGGAGGUGGCUUAAAGGGAUGCUGAAAUGGGGAAAUAGCUCUCUCUCUUCCUCUCUGGGCAUCAUCACUCAUAGGAACAAUUCUUUCAAAUACUGAAAAAAGGUAGAAAUUUAUCUGUAGUUGAAGAAUCAAAAUGCAGAAGUGUCCUUACAUAUCUAACUGCUGUAGACACCAUAAAUCUGAGGUAGAAUUUUACCUCAGUGAGGGGUAAAGCCGCAAAUUAUGGAGGAUGGAUAUUUAUCUUCAAUAGAUGCAUUGUCUUAAAAGGAAGUAUAUGGAAAAUGAUCAACACGUCCAUUCCGGCAGUGUGGAAAAAUUAAGCCAUUUUUUCCAGUGUUUAAGUCCAUUCAAACAAACAAUAAUGCCUUGGACUUCUCAACUUGCAACAUAGAAUGACUGGGAAAAUGGGCACUGUCUUCUUGCCAAUCCGAAAUAGACAUAAAUCAAACAUAGGCCAAAUCUAUGAGAGAAAUCAGUGUUUUUAACAUUGAAAUUAAUAUCAAUAGCUUGAAAUCUUAAAUGCAAACUGCAUUUGGUGUGAUAUGAAAUUCAUUCCCUCUUAAAUUCUCAUCUCCACAGCUCUGCAUCAGAGAAUACUUGAUAAACUGUACAGAAAAGGCUUAUGCAGUGAUUAUACCAAUUCCAAAUAGACAUAAAUCAUUGUAAUGUAAAGUGAUACAUCUCGUUAAAAGGUCUGUUCAGUGCUGUGAGUUUGCAGUGUUGAAAUCUUUGUAGGUUAUUGUAAAUAACAACAAUCUUUAUGAUUAAACAUGUUGCUCAUAUAGUAGGAAAAAGUCUUCUAGGCCUUACCUUUUAUUAUUUAAUACAGGAAGGGGCAGGAAAUAUAAAAUUGCAAUGUGACUACAUUGUCCUCUGAGGGUCCUUGCUUUGCUAUUUAGUGCACAGGCAUCUAGAUUCUGAAAGCUGAUAUUUUUGGUCUAGCAGAAGUGAUUCAAAUGGUCCUUCUGAGGUGGAUGCAAUUCUUUUUGCUAUAAGGUGACUAACAACCAGGAUGCUGUUGGCAACUGUGGCUCAGUGGGAAUCACUCUUUCAUUUGAAGGAAAAAGAUUGCGGGUCAAAAUCUCAUUCCACAAAGAUCUAGGUGGACACUUCCAGUGCUGCACUUGCCAUCUGAUUACAGACUUCUACUCUAUUAGUGGGAUAUAAAAGAUCACUGAGGAAGAGCAAGGGAAUUCUCCCUGAUCUCUCAGCCAAUAUUUAACCUUUGACAAAUAACAUUAAAAACAAAGUACCUGGUGACUGUCACUUUUCUGUUUUUGAGGGCUUACUAUCUACAAAUUAGACACCACAGUUCUGACAAUAGUGAUAUCACUUCAAAAGGACUUUUCAUUAGCUAUGGAGUACUUCAGGAUCUUUUGUGGUUAUAAAAGGCACUACAUCAUUGCAAGUCUUUACCAUCUGAGCUCAAGCAAAAAAAAGUAACGUGAAUGAAAGUUUUACUGGAAUAAAUAGUAGGGUUAAUGUUUUUCUUUAAAAAUGUGCUAGAAAUACAUCGAAGUUAUUAAAUGGAAGCAUGUCAUUCAAUCCAUCUAUUCGGCGUCAGCAUUGACCCAACAUACCUCUGAGUAAAUAAUCUUAAAUAGAAUUACCUACUUCUUCUCACACCCCUGCAAUAACUUGUCCAUCAUCAAUCUAUCCAAUCAAUUUCUUUCUGUCUGUUUGUUUCUAUAUCAAUUAAUUACCUGCGCUUAUGAAUUCCACAGAAAACACAGGAGAUGUUACCAUGUAGUUAUAUCAGCAUCAGAAGCCCUUAUAGCUUUAGUUAGCCUUUAGUUAGUCCACAAAAGAAAGCAAUCUAUUAAUUAAAAAAAAACAAAAAAAACAAAUUACAAUCCACUUCUAUCCUAAUUUUACAUCAGGAAUGCCUUUCUCAGUUCAAAUGUUUCCCAAGAUCAUUGCCAGAAUGAUUUGGUCAGUGCAGCUUUUUUGAUUACUGUCCUCAUCCUUCAAGGUUUCUGCUUCUACCUGGCAUUGCCUUUGACAUUCAAUCUGUGCAGACUCACUCCUGGACAGACCUUUUAAGAAAUGCCUGAGCAAAGUUGAAUGUAUUUUUGAAUGGUUGUAGCUGUGUCCCAUCUACAGCCAGCCCUGUCAUUACAGAGCACCGUUGCGAAUUUGAAUUCUGGCAUGGUCUGGUCACCCUGCUUCUAUAUGAAUAUGCAGUUUAAACCUAUGUCUUGUGAUGUUCGCUUCAAGCAUAAAAUAUUUGUUUGACUGGACUUUAAUAAAAUUAAAACAAAAUUAUAUUUGUAUAAUGUUAGAGUAAUGUAUGUAAUAUGAAUAAAGAGUCUAAGAUGGGUUAUAUUUCCCUUUUAAUGAAAACAGAGAGUCGGUCUUUCUCCAGAAUCAAUCAUAUUCUAUUCCCAGAAACUUAAUGUUUUUGCGAUUUUGUUUGUGGUUGUUAAUUAAGAGGAACUACAGACAUUCUCCUAUUAUUGUUAAGAGGGGAUAACACCAGGUGUAGAGGAUUAACUGAAAGCUGCAGGAGGUAUUGCUAUCAGCGUUGCAAGCAUUCAACCAUUUUAUUGUUUCCAUUGUGAGAGGCUCAGCACCAAGUAAGUAUAUUUAAAAAUGGGUGUGCAUUCUUUUUGAAAAGUGUUGAUCUCAUCCUCCCCUUCCUUGAUGGUUAUUCUCAUAAAGUCUUCUCACUCAGAGCUGGCCUACUCUGUGACUCAGAUCUUACCAAGAUGGUGCCCACAGUAUAGAAAUCAAUCUUGCUUCAGUUGGGUGUACUGGUAUAUUCCAUUUUAGUCAGAGCUAAUGGAUUACCAUAUCUAAUUAAAGUUUGAUUUAACCUACUACUGAAAAAUUAGUUAGCCCUCCUGAUUUUUGUGAUGACAGUCAUUGUGCGAUAGAAUGAAACCUACUAAUAUCCUAGCUUAAAAUUUGAAAAUUAUUGAUCUAAUGAAACAAUCAGAAAACUGAUUCAUUUCAAGUAUUUUUCUUUUUGGAUAGAGAGCAUUUUGAGGUACAUGGCCAGAAAUGAUGCUAGACAGUUUCUCAGUCUCUAGUAAAUCUGUUCAUUUUCUGAUCAUGGUAAUAAUGAUUCCCAGGCUAAAGUUGUUCAACUUCACAUCACUUUAUCACAUGUGUCACUAUAACAGCACAACAUGACUCGCGUACCAUUAGGGAGAAGAAGUUGAGGACAUUUUGAAUGCAGGGAAAUGCGGUGACAACUAAAUUCAGUACUUAUUGGGUGUGUUUUUUCAAAGGCCUCCUGUCAUUUGAAUUUUGACGUUAAUACAGGAAAAGAAAUUCACAAUAUCCAUAGGGCAUUAAAGUGGCUAAUACUCCUCUUAAUAGUUUAUUACAGGGUAUUUUUUAAUUAGCUUCUAAUGAAAUCACAGUUGAACAUUGCUUUACUUACUCUGGUUGCACUUGUUUAACUGUGUUAUUGUUAGGAUUAUAUCAUUCUAUUCUGUUUCAGAUAAUGACUAUCAGAUGUGCGACUUUGUGUGGCAUCUAUGUAUUAUCAAACAAGCUUUAAUAAAGUUAUAUUCAAACACAAAUGCUCAGCUGUUUAACUUAACUGCAUUGAAAUUACAGCAGAAUUUGUAAAAUAUUUCCUUAUUCAAAGAAACAAAACGCAUUUAUUUUGGGAAGUUAUAUGUAUUCAUUUUC